AGUCGAACGGACCGUAUACGCAGCUUGCUGCGUGUAUGGUUAGUGGCAGACGGGUGAGUAAUGCAUAGGAAUCUACCUAGUAGUAUGGGAUAGCCACUAGAAAUGGUGGGUAAUACUGUAUAAUCCCUGCGGGGGAAAGAUUUAUCGCUAUUAGAUGAGCCUAUGUCAGAUUAGCUAGUUGGUGGGGUAAUGGCCUACCAAGGCGGUGAUCUGUAGCUGGUCUGAGAGGAUGAUCAGCCACACUGGAACUGAGACACGGUCCAGACUCCUACGGGAGGCAGCAGUGGGGAAUAUUGGACAAUGGGCGCAAGCCUGAUCCAGCUAUGCCGCGUGAGUGAGGAAGGCCUUAGGGUUGUAAAACUCUUUCAGUAGG
rnacentral:rRNA from 1 species